AGAGUUUGAUCCUGGCUCAGAUUGAACGCUGGCGGCAGGCCUAACACAUGCAAGUCGAGCGGUAACAGAAAGUAGCUUGCUACUUUGCUGACGAGCGGCGGACGGGUGAGUAAUGCUUGGGAACAUGCCUUGAGGUGGGGGACAACAGUUGGAAACGACUGCUAAUACCGCAUAAUGUCUACGGACCAAAGGGGGCUUCGGCUCUCGCCUUUAGAUUGGCCCAAGUGGGAUUAGCUAGUUGGUGAGGUAAUGGCUCACCAAGGCGACGAUCCCUAGCUGGUUUGAGAGGAUGAUCAGCAACACUGGGACUGAGACACGGCCCAGACUCCUACGGGAGGCAGCAGUGGGGAAUAUUGCACAAUGGGCGCAAGCCUGAUGCAGCCAUGCCGCGUGUGUGAAGAAGGCCUUCGGGUUGUAAAGCACUUUCAGUCAGGAGGAAAGGUUAGUAGUUAAUACCUGCUAGCUGUGACGUUACUGACAGAAGAAGCACCGGCUAACUCCGUGCCAGCAGCCGCGGUAAUACGGAGGGUGCGAGCGUUAAUCGGAAUUACUGGGCGUAAAGCGUACGCAGGCGGUUUGUUAAGCGAGAUGUGAAAGCCCCGGGCUCAACCUGGGAACUGCAUUUCGAACUGGCCAAACUAGAGUGUGGAUAGAAAGGGUGAGAAUUUCAAGGUGUAGCGGUGAAAAUGCGUAGAAGAUCUGA
rnacentral:rRNA from 1 species